CGCAGCAGGGCCCGGGGCCGCCCGCGGCUCCCGCGCCCUCGCUCUCAGACCGCUGACAGAAACGUGCCGUAUCCCAGGUUCCCCCCCCCCCCAAAUUGUGACUGAAACGUGCCCCCGUUCAGGGUUUUUUUCCCCCUCAAACUAACUCGGCCUGUCCUUUAUUCUGGUAGAACCGAGGAGCAGGAUGGUGGAGGAGGACAGGGAGUGACAGCGUCAGGAAACUUCCUUGUGGAUGUGUUUGAAUGGGAGACAGCAACGAACCACCGUGGGGGAGGAAGGAUGUGCCGGGUGCCCAGGCGUGCCGCGGGCCAGCGAUGCGCCCCGCGCUGCUUGCGUCCCCUGCCUCAGCUCAGGAAUUCGUGUCAAAUCACGUAGCAGCUGGUUGGAAGAGGUUUGGGAAGCGGUUCAGGAAUGCAGAACGCUAUUUGAAACUAAGCUGACCUYGGAUGUUGAGUGGCAUUUAUCUGACAACAGUUGCAGACAUCAGCUCAUUUCACACCUGCUUCUCUGAUCAGCGCUGGGAGUACCCAUUUCCACUGAAGUGUGAAGGAAACUCAAGACACAGGAAGUAAUUAUUUUUAAAAAAAUUUUGAUAAAUGCAAAAUCAAACAUUUAACAUAUAGACAUGAUAGAGGAUGAAAAAAAAAUGCCAGGCUCUAAUUACUUUAAAAAUAUGAGCACAGGAAAAUGAAAUGGAAUUUUGCUGAAAAUGUUCAGUUUCUGUAUGGUAUAAUCCAAAACCAUAUAUUUGAUUAUAGUGGACAAAAGACCCAAAUAGCAAGGAUAUCUGAAAUGGGGUAAUGACAAAUACAAUGUGGAAGCAAAAUGCAGACAUGCAUUUGCAAAAUGGCACAGAAAAAAUAUUGCAAUCUAGAAACUGUACAAAGAAACACUGCAUGAAGUGCAACUAGGUGACUGUGCAUUGGCUUUGCUGGGACCCUUCAUUCACCAGUUAUUUUGCAAAGAAGGAAGAGGGCUUGGUAUAUCUAAGUGCAGUUCUCUAUGAUCCUUUUUAAACUGAAUUAGCUUUUAAAAUUUCUUAGGCAUCCCAUAUGCUCAAAGAAAUAUAUGUAUCCUUGAAUAAAGAGCGGUAAAAAACAAUUACA
rnacentral:lncRNA from 1 species